CCUACGGGAGGCAGCAGUAGGGAAUAUUGCUCAAUGGGGGAAACCCUGAACCAGCAACGCCGCGUGGAGGAUGAAGGUUUUCGGAUUGUAAACUUCUUUUGUUAGAGAAGAUAAUGACGGUAUCUAACGAAUAAGCACCGGCUAACUACGUGCCAGCAGCCGCGGUAAUACGGAGGGUGCAAGCGUUACUCGGAAUCACUGGGCGUAAAGAGCGCGUAGACGGGAUAGCAAGUCAGAUGUGAAAUCCUAUGGCUUAACCAUAGAACUGCAUUUGAAACUGUUAUUCUAGAGUAGGGGAGAGGUAGGUGGAAUUCUUGGUGUAGGGGUGAAAUGCGUAGAGAUCAAGAGGAAUACUCAUUGCGAAGGCGGCCUGCUGGAACGUAACUGACGCUGAUGCGCGAAAGCGUGGGGAGCAAACAGGAUUAGAUACCCGUGUAGUC
rnacentral:rRNA from 1 species